UACGUGUAAGGCACAAUCUAUUUCAGUUAUUGUUUUGUUAGUUAAUAAGCUCACAAAGCAAUAACCACUUGACCAGAAUUGAAAGUGUCGGAAAUUGACUAGUAUAGAUAUUAGUUUGUUAUCUCUAUAUAUAAAACUGUUUGUUCUCAUAAAUUGACUGACUAACCGUAAGGGCUAUUAAGCCUUAUGUGAUGGAGGUGCAAUCUAAGACGGGAAGUUACACCUGUAAGUGUGCAAAAAUCGCUGUUGUUUAUUAUACAAGCGACCUUAUUUCAAAGAUAUUUGAUAAAUUUCAUGUGAGACGUAUCGGAACAUCCAUCGCUUCUUGGGGGAAAUGGCGGUUAAAGAUUUGGAUUACAUUACCAAGGAUGUUUUUGAAAAAUAAUUUUGGACGGGUUUCACACUUCACGCAGCGUCCAAGCAUAUUCUGUGAAAAAUGUGACUUGAAAAGUUGUUUCAGGUUUUUCCGAUUUGCUUCAAACUUAUUUUCAAAGCCUUACAUAAAAACUAGAACGGCAACUUUGUGAAAAGUUAUAUCUCAAAGUUUGAAGGACAAGACUUGCCGCGGAAAAGGCCGAGGAAUACUCGCUAGUCUUCUAAUAUAUUUAUGAGGACUUUCCUAAUGCUAACCUUCGGUAUGUGGACUGCCUAAACAUUAGGCCAUAAAAACGAGCCCAAUUAGAAACUAAAAAUGAGUCUAUAAAAAAAAAAAACGACUACAGAAAUUUAAAUUUAAUGAGCGUAUUUACUAGAACACACAGAACAAUUUGAA